UACGGAGGGUGCAAGCGUUAUCCGGAUUUAUUGGGUUUAAAGGGUGCGUAGGCGGCAAUAUAAGUCAGUGGUGAAAUCCUGCAGCUCAACUGUAGAACAGCCAUUGAAACUGUAUUACUUGAGUAAUCUUGAGGUAGGCGGAAUGUGUAGUGUAGCGGUGAAAUGCUUAGAUAUUACACAGAACACCGAUUGCGAAGGCAGCUUACUAAGGAUUUACUGACGCUGAUGCACGAAAGCGUGGGGAUCAAACAGGAUUAGAUACCCUGGUAGUCCACGCCGUAAACGAUGAUAACUCGCUGUUGGCGAUACACAGUCAGCGGCUUAGCGAAAGCGUUAAGUUAUCCACCUGGGGAGUACGCUCGCAAGAGUG
rnacentral:rRNA from 1 species